UACGUAGGGGGCAAGGGUUGUCCGGAAUUAUUGGGCGUAAAGAGUGUGUAGGCGGCUAGGAAGGUCCGCUGUGAAAACUCGAGGCUCAACCUCGAGACGCCGAUGGAAACCAUCUAGCUAGAGUCCGGAAGAGGAGAGUGGAAUUCCUGGUGUAGCGGUGAAAUGCGCAGAUAUCAGGAAGAACACCCGUGGCUAAGGCGGCUCUCUAGUACGGUACUGACGCUGAGACGCGAAAGCGUGGGGAGCGAACAGG
rnacentral:rRNA from 1 species